rnacentral:rRNA from 1 species
AGAAUCAACGCUGGCGGCGUGCCUAACACAUGCAAGUCGAACGAGAAAGUGGUAGCAAUACCAUGAGUAAAGUGGCGCACGGGUGAGUAACACGUGACUAACCUACCCUUGAGUGGGGGAUAAACUGAGGGAAACCUUAGCUAAUACCGCAUAAUACCCACGGGUCAAAGGAGCAAUUCGCUCGAGGAGGGGGUCGCGGCCGAUUAGUUAGUUGGCAGGGUAAUGGCCUACCAAGACGAUGAUCGGUAUCCGGCCCUGAGAGGGCGCACGGACACACUGGAACUGAAACACGGUCCAGACUCCUACGGGAGGCAGCAGUGGGGAAUUUUGCGCAAUGGGGGAAACCCUGACGCAGCAACGCCGCGUGGAGGAUGAAGUCCUUCGGGACGUAAACUCCUUUCGAUCGGGACGAUAUGACGGUACCGGAAGAAGAAGCCCGGCUAACUUCGUGCCAGCAGCCGC